rnacentral:rRNA from 1 species
CCUACGGGAGGCAGCAGUGAGGAAUAUUGGUCAAUGGGCGCGAGCCUGAACCAGCCAAGUCGCGUGAGGGAAGACGGUCCUAUGGAUUGUAAACCUCUUUUGUCGGGGAGCAAAAGACGCCACGCGUGGCGUUCCGAGAGUACCCGAAGAAAAAGCAUCGGCUAACUCCGUGCCAGCCGCCGCGGUAAUACGGAGGAUGCGAGCGUUAUCCGGAUUUAUUGGGUUUAAAGGGUGCGCAGGCGGAAGAGCAAGUCAGCGGUAAAAUUGAGAGGCUCAACCUCUUCGAGCCGUUGAAACUGGUUUUCUUGAGUGAGUGAGACGUAUGCGGAAUGCGUGGUGUAGCGGUGAAAUGCAUAGAUAUCACGCAGAACUCCGAUUGCGAAGGCAGCAUACCGGCGCUCAACUGACGCUCAUGCACGAAAGUGUGGGUAUCGAACAGGAUUAGAUACCCCGGUAGUC